GCAAAGUCAAUACAGUUUUUUCUAGGAUGAAUGAGCCAUGACUUUGUGUUUGUUAUGUUGGUUUGUGUGUCUGCUAUGACAGAAAAUGCUGGGACAUAUUGCCUCAAGCCAAGCCAGCUUUUGUUCUCCUGCUGUUGAAUGUCUCUUGGUUUGGAGUUUGACAGGUUUUAGAAGAAUAUGGCCAAAGUGGUUUUUUCAGCAUGAAUGAAAUUCUAUAUGUUUGUCA
rnacentral:lncRNA from 1 species